rnacentral:lncRNA from 1 species
GUACCACUUGGCGAGCUCAUCGUCAGCAGGGGAGACAGCGGCAGCCUUAGCUUUGGCAGGAGCUGCAGCCGCCUUCUUUUUGAAAAGGGCAACAGUUUUGAAGGUAGCAGAGGAGGAUGGAGAUGGAGCAGCAGGCCUUGCAACACCGCUAAACUUGACCGGACUUCCGAGCAUCUCGGAGACGUAUAGAGAGGUAGCUGCAGCCAUUUGUAGCUAAACGGUGUCGCUGGCAAGAGGUAAAAAAAAUUGAGGUCGAGUUGAUGAUGAGAA